CGAAAUAGCUUUAGGGCUAGCCUCAAGUGAUGAUUAUUGGAGGUAGAGCACUGUUUGGACGAGGGGCCCCUCUCGGGUUACCGAAUUCAGACAAACUCCGAAUGCCAAUUAAUUUAACUUGGGAGUCAGAACAUGGGUGAUAAGGUCCGUGUUCGAAAGGGAAACAGCCCAGACCACCAGCUAAGGUCCCAAAAUAUAUGUUAAGUGGAAAAGGAUGUGGCGUUGCCCAGACAACUAGGAUGUUGGCUUAGAAGCAGCCAUCAUUUAAAGAGUGCGUAAUAGCUCACUAGUCGAGUGACACUGCGCCGAAAAUGUACCGGGGCUAAACAUAUUACCGAAGCUGUGGAUUGUCCUUUGGACAAUGGUAGGAGAGCGUUCUAAGGGCGUUGAAGCAUGAUCGUAAGGACAUGUGGAGCGCUUAGAAGUGAGAAUGCCGGUGUGAGUAGCGAAAGACGGGUGAGAAUCCCGUCCACCGAUUGACUAAGGUUUCCAGAGGAAGGCUCGUCCGCUCUGGGUUAGUCGGGUCCUAAGCUGAGGCCGACAGGCGUAGGCGAUGGAUAACAGGUUGAUAUUCCUGUACCACCUAUAAUCGUUUUAAUCGAUGGGGGGACGCAGUAGGAUA
rnacentral:rRNA from 1 species